GCGCGAAAACUUUACAAUGCUGGCAACAGCGAUAAGGGAACCUCGAGUGCCAGGUUACAAAUCUGGCUGUCGAGAUGCCUAAAAAGCAUUUCAUAGCAAGGGCCGGGCAAGACCGGUGCCAGCCGCCGCGGUAACACCGGCGGCUCGAGUGGUAACCGUUAUUAUUGGGUCUAAAGGGUCUGUAGCCGGCCGGAUAAGUCUCUUGAGAAAUCUGGCAGCUUAACUGUCAGGCUUUCAGGAAAUACUGUCUGGCUCGAGGCCGGGAGAGGUGAGAGGUACUUCAGGGGUAGGGGUGAAAUCUUGUAAUCCUUGAAGGACCACCAGUGGCGAAGGCGUCUCACCAGAACGGACCUGACGGCAAGGGACGAAAGCUAGGGGCACGAACCG
rnacentral:rRNA from 1 species